rnacentral:rRNA from 1 species
UACGUAGGGGGCAAGCGUUGUCCGGAUUUACUGGGCGUAAAGAGCGUGUAGGCGGCCAAGCAGGUCCGUUGUGAAAACUGGAGGCUUAACCUCCAGACGUCGACGGAAACCGCGUGGCUAGAGUCCGGAAGAGGAGAGUGGAAUUCCGGGUGUAGCGGUGGAAUGCGUAGAGAUCCGGAAGAACACCGGAGGCGAAGGCGGCUUGCUGGACCUGGUCUGACGCUGAGGCGCGAAAGCGUGGGGAGCGAACAGG